rnacentral:rRNA from 1 species
AUUGAACGCUGGCGGCAUGCCUUACACAUGCAAGUCGAACGGUAACAGGUCUUCGGAUGCUGACGAGUGGCGAACGGGUGAGUAUACAUCGGAACGUGCCUAGUAGUGGGGGAUAACUACUCGAAAGAGUGGCUAAUACUGCAUGAGAUCUACGGAUGAACGCAGGGGAACGCAAGACCUUGUGCUACUACAGCGGCCGAUGGCAGAUUAGGUAGUUGGUGGGAUAAAAGCUUACCAAGCCGACGAUCUGUAGCUGGUCUGAGAGGACGAUCAGCCACACUGGGACUGAGACACGGCCCAGACUCCUACGGGAGGCCGCAGUGGGGAAUUUUGGACAAUGGGCGAAAGCCUGAUCCAGCAAUGCCGCGUGCAGGAUGAAGGCCUUCGGGUUGUAAACUGCUUUUGUACGGAACGAAAAGCCCUGGGUUAAUACCCUGGGGUCAUGACGGUACCGUAAGAAUAAGCACCGGCUAACUACGUGCCAGCAGCCGCGGUAA